GAUGAACGCUAGCGGCAGGCUUAAUACAUGCAAGUCGAGGGACAGCACAGGUAGCAAUACUGGGUGGUAACCGGCAAACGGGUGCGGAACACGUACACAACCUUCCUUUAAGUGGGGGAUAGCCCAGAGAAAUUUGGAUUAAUACCCCGUAAUAUAGUUGAAUGGCAUCAUUUGAUUAUUAUAGCUACGGCGCUUAAUGAUGGGCGUGCGGCUGAUUAGAUAGUUGGCGGGGUAACGGCCCACCAAGUCUACGAUCAGUAGCUGAUGUGAGAGCAUGAUCAGCCACACGGGCACUGAGACACGGGCCCGACUCCUACGGGAGGCAGCAGUAAGGAAUAUUGGUCAAUGGACGCAAGUCUGAACCAGCCAUGCCGCGUGAAGGAUUAAGGUCCUCUGGAUUGUAAACUUCCUUUAUUUGGGACGAAAAAGGGCCUUUCUAGGUCAACUGACGGUACCAGAUGAAUAAGCACCGGCUAACUCCUUGCCAGCCGCCGCCGUAAAAC
rnacentral:rRNA from 1 species